rnacentral:rRNA from 1 species
UCCAGAGAUGGAUUCGUGCUCGAAAGAGAACCUGCACACAGGUGCUGCAUGGCUGUCGUCAGCUCGUGUCCUGAGAUGUUGGGUUAAGUCCCGCAACGAGCGCAACCCUUGUCAUUAGUUGCUACAUUCAGUUGAGCACUCUAAUGAGACUGCCGGUGACAAACCGGAGGAAGGUGGGGAUGACGUCAAGUCCUCAUGGCCCUUAUAGGUGGGGCUACACACGUCAUACAAUGGCUGGUACAGAGGGUUGCCAACCCGCGAGGGGGAGCUAAUCCCAUAAAACCAGUCGUAGUCCGGAUCGCAGUCUGCAACUCGACUGCGUGAAGUCGGAAUCGCUAGUAAUCGCGGAUCAGCAUGCCGCGGUGAAUACGUUCCCGGGUCUUGUACACACCGCCCGUCACACCAUGGGAGCGGGUCUCGCCAGAAGUAGGUAGCCUAACCGCAAGGAGGGCGCUUACCACGGCGGGGUUCGUGACUGGGGUGAAGUCGUAACAAGGUAGCC